rnacentral:lncRNA from 1 species
UAGCAUGCUCGUUUCCCUAUAUUCUCUAUGUCAUUUGGUAUAUUCAAUUACUUAAUGAUUCUUUACAGCAUAAUAUGUAGAACAUAAAAGUCUAAUAAUUGAAAAUUGGAAAUCAUUCACUAUCAUGCCAAAUUUACAGUAAAAACAAUCAACCUAUAUACAUGCUCCUAACCAAUCACUUGUAUUUCUACAAGCUCAAGCACACUUUGACAAGAAAAAUAAAAUAAAAUAAAAUAAAAACGAAAACAAAAUUUCCUAUGUUACCCCCCA